rnacentral:rRNA from 1 species
UCAGUGCAGGCCUUCAUACGGUGAAACCGCGAAUGGCUCAUUAAAUCAGCUAUGGUUUAUUGGAUCGUACCCGUUAAAUGGAUAACUGUAAUAACUCUAGAGCUAAUACAUGCCUCGAUGCCCUGACUCUCCGGUUGCCGUCUCUGCCUAGGCGGUGGAUUGGAGAGGAAGGGUGCACUUAUUAGAUCAGAAGCCAACCUUACUUGGCCCGUGUGGUUGUAAANNAACGGCGGUUGCAGCUGUGGGCCAGGCAUGAUGACCUUCUGGUGACUCUGGAUAAUUGUUACAGAUCGCGGUCGGCCUUGAGUCGGCGACGGGUCCUUCAAAUGUCUGCCCUAUCAACUUUCGAUGGUAGGUGACCUGCCUACCAUGGUUAUAACGGGUAACGGGGAAUCAGGGUUCGAUUCCGGAGAGGGAGCCUGAGAAACAGCUACCACUUCCAAGGGAGGCAGCAGGCGCGCAAAUUACCCACUCCCGGCACGGAGGUGGU